GGGAAUAUUGGGCAAUGGGCGCAAGCCUGACCCAGCAACGCCGCGUGAAGGAAGAAGGCUUUCGGGUUGUAAACUUCUUUUGUCAGGGACGAGCAGAAGACGGUACCUGACGAAUAAGCCACGGCUAACUACGUGCCAGCAGCCGCGGUAAUACGUAGGUGGCAAGCGUUGUCCGGAUUUACUGGGUGUAAAGGGCGUGUAGCCGGGAGGGCAAGUCAGAUGUGAAAUCCACGGGCUCAACUCGUGAACUGCAUUUGAAACUACUCUUCUUGAGUAUCGGAGAGGCAAUCGGAAUUCCUAGUGUAGCGGUGAAAUGCGUAGAUAUUAGGAGGAACACCAGUGGCGAAGGCGGAUUGCUGGACGACAACUGACGGUGAGGCGCGAAAGCGUGGGGAGCAAACAGG
rnacentral:rRNA from 1 species